rnacentral:rRNA from 1 species
AUUAAACGCUGGCGGCAGGCCUAACACAUGCAAGUCGAGCGGCAGCGACAUGAUAGGAGCUUCGGUGGAAAUUAUGGGCGGCGAGCGGCGGACGGGUGAGUAAUGCCUGGGAAUAUGCCCUGAUGUGGGGGAUAACCAUUGGAAACGAUGGCUAAUACCGCAUAAUCUCUUCGGAGACAAAGGACGGGGUACCGUUCGGGCCUCUCGCGUCAGGAUUACGCCCAGGUGGAUUAGCUAGUUGGUGAGGUAAAGGCUCACCAAGGCGACGAUCCCUAGCUGGUCUGAGAGGAUGAUCAGCCACACUGGAACUGAGACACGGUCCAGACUCCUACGGGAGCAGCAGUGGGGAAUAUUGCACAA